GAUGAACGCUGGCGGCGUGCCUAAUACAUGCAAGUCGAGCGAACAGAUAAGGAGCUUGCUCCUUUGACGUUAGCGGCGGACGGGUGAGUAACACGUGGGUAACCUACCUAUAAGACUGGGAUAACUUCGGGAAACCGGAGCCAAUACCGGAUAAUAUUUCGAACCGCAUGGUUCGAUAGUGGAAGAUGGUUUUGCUAUCACUUAUAGAUGGACCCGCGCCGUAUUAGCUAGUUGGUAAGGUAACGGCUUACCAAGGCGACGAUACGUAGCCGACCUGAGAGGGGGAUCGGCCACACUGGAACUGAGACACGGUCCAGACUCCUACGGGAGGCAGCAGUAGGGAAUCUUCCGCAAUGGGCGAAAGCCUGACGGAGCAACGCCGCGUGAGUGAUGAAGGUCUUCGGAUCGUAAAACUCUGUUAUUAGGGAAGAACAUACGUGUAAGUAACUGUGCACGUCUUGACGGUACCUAAUCAGAAAGCCACGGCUAACUACGUG
rnacentral:rRNA from 1 species